UACGAAGGGGGCUAGCGUUGCUCGGAAUCACUUGGCGUAGAGGGUGCGUAGGCGGGUCUUUAAGUCAGGGGGGAAAUCCUGGAGCUCAACUCCAGAACUGCCUUUGAUACUGAAGAUCUUGAGUUCGGGAGAGGUGAGUGGAACUGCGAGUGUAGAGGUGAAAUUCGUAGAUAUUCGCAAGAACACCAGUGGCGAAGGCGGCUCACUGGCCCGAUACUGACGCUGAGGCACGAAAGCGUGGGGAGCAAACAGG
rnacentral:rRNA from 1 species